rnacentral:tRNA from 1 species
GGCCGAGUGGUGAAGAAGUCUAACACGACGGUCCGCAAAACCGUUAUUCGCGGGUGCGAUUCCCGCCUCGGCCU